CCAAAGAGCCCCUUCGCUAGUGCACUGCACUGGAUCAUAACAAUGAGCCCUCCCCCCAACGCAGUGCACUGGACAGGACCAGUCCUGCCAAGGAAGGAGGAAAGAAGCCAGGACGUGAGUUGUCUCUCUGUUCUGUGUGUGUCCAGCCCCUAGCACCACAGGCUCCUGGCCCAGGGCCUGGGCUCCCCAGCACGAACAUCACGCGGCUAUGAAAUAAUGUCGUCCCUCUCGUCACACGAGGGCCUUUUCACUCCACUCUGGCCUCCACCUUGCGGGCAGAAAGGAACCUCAACGGGGUGUUUGCUCCACCCCUUGGGCUGAGGUCAGACCAACAACACCUAGAUUACCCCAACAGGUGUUUGCCAGACUCCGGGGUGGAACUUUUCUUGGGUCGAGGGCCGCUGACCCACAGAAAAAUCACAAGUGAGAAGCAAAGAAAGAAAAGAGACAG